UCACAUUGCGAUAAGACGUGUCACGGUACUUGUCUAUCCCAAAUUCAUGUAUUUGGUUUUGAUGUUAUAUUUGUUUUUCUCGUGGGAUUUUGUCUGAUGCUUGGUCCGUUUCUGUGUGUGUUACAUUGUAGUGUUGUGUCGUUGUUCUCCUCUUAUAUUUAAUGCGUUUCCCUCAGUUUUAGUUUGUUACCCCGAUUUUGUUUUUUGUCCAUGGAUUUAUGAGUUUGAACAGCGGUAUACUACUGUUGCCUUUAUUUAUUGGU
rnacentral:lncRNA from 1 species